ensembl:lncRNA
CACACACACACACACCCCCGUUUAAUUGUAUCGCCCCCCCGCCGCCGCUUUUGUUUUACGUCGCUUAAUUUACUCAAAAAAAAAAAAAACCAAAAACAUUUCCAUUUUUCUCUUUUUUUUUUUUUGUCAUUUUAUUUCCCCGUUCUUUCAUCGUUCUUCCCGAUUUUUUCCCCACUUCUCCCCUUUUCCCCUCUUUUUUAUUCCCCUUUGCCCCAUUUUCCUAUUUUUCCCCUUCUCUUUUUCCCCCUUUCACCUCCCCACGCCCCCCUAAUGGAAGCAGAGGGCAGCAGGCAGGACACAGCGCAGCGCUGAGCUCCCCCCCAGCACACAGGUAGGACUUCGGGGUGGGAUGGGAACACAACAACCACCCCCAAUCACCCCACCUUUAUGGGGGGCUGUUCAUGUCCUUUGGGGCUCUGAACCCCCCCCACAUGCACACGUACAGCAGAGGCUGGGGGGCGUGCAGUGCUGUGCUGUGCAAUGCUGUGCUGUGCUGUGCAGUGCUGUGCUGUGCUGCCCGCACGUUUGCAGGCUGUUUGGAGCUAUAUUUAACGCGUGCAGUCAGCGCCUGGAUUUAGCAACGCGGCCAUAAAUCAGACAGACGCACGGACGGAGCUGGCACAGCUCUGCCCCAUUUCCUCAUCGCCGGCGCGGUGCUGGGGGCCCUUUCCCCCAUAUAAAACACCAAAGAGGGGAUGGAAGGCAAAAGGGGAUCUCUGACGCAGCCCUACAGACAGAGGGGGGUCCUCCACACCCCGCUCUUUGGGGGCAGCCCGGUGUGGGGGGCAGACGGGAUGUGGGAUUCCCAGCAGUGUGGGAUGGCGUUCUCCAUCAAUCCCAGCUGCGGGGUUCUGGGGCUGUUUGAUUCUCCUCUUUUUUUUUGUUUUGUUUUUUUUUUUUCCUCCCCUUUUACCCAAUAAAAAGCUUUUUUUUUUUCCUUUUCUUUUUUUCUAAGUGCAAAGUCAUGAGAAAAAGCACAGAACAGAUGCUGGCACGGGGAUGCUCUGAGCGGAUCGUGAGUCCCGGGGCUGUGAUUUGUGCCCGCCAGCCCUAACCAGAACUGGGCUGUGGGGCGAGCAGGAGGCAGCCAUGGCUUUUGGAGGGACAGAUGUGGUGGUUUAGCAGAGAAACGCAUGGGAAAUACCCCAAACCCACACCUCGCUGUGUGCGUCUAGCACAGCCUGUGUCCAGGCAGAGCUGUGAGAGGCAAUCCGCACCAGCACGGCGAGCUGAGCGCAGCUCCUUCUGUGUGCACACCAAACAUCAGAACACGGAAAACAUCCGUGGGGAAGGAACGGUGAGGAGAUGUGAACGGCUCAGGUUUGAAGGUCCCGAAGCAUCGACUCAAUGGGAGGCGCAGGGGGAGAAGUUGAGCGGUUCACCACAGAGCUGUGCGCCUUUGCUCCGUCCUUCUUAAAAUUCACCUCUCCUCUCUGCUUUGCGCAGCAGCCGGCGGAGCCCUGGGGAGCUGGAAAUGCAGAGCUGCAGGGGAUGGGGACAGGCGUGGGGUCCGGCUUUGUGCCGCACCGAGGGCCAUGUCCCCAAAAGAAGAGAUCCGAGCACUGACAGCACUGCUGCCCCGGGCUGUCCCUUCCCCUGCAGAUGUCCCUGUGUGGCUGUCAGUGCUGUGUGUGCACCCCAAACUUCGCCAUCUGAAAGCACGGGGAGCCCAUCUGCCUCCCCACGGUGCGGCUCACAAACGCUUCUUCUGACCCGAGCGAAAGGGAGAUGGGAAGCAAAACCUGUCCCCAAAAGUACCCCAAAGCAACAAGCACAGACCUGCCCACAGGGACGUGGGCUGCUGGGGCUGAACCCACAGCUGCCCCCAGCUCAGGUGUCACACAGGUGGGGACGGAGCAGCCAGCAAAGCAAUGUCCUCAGUGGGCAAGGCGGUGACCACAGGGGCUGCUUGCCCCGAGCUGAGCCCAUCCUUGGCAUCCCCGCAUCGCCUGAUGUAGGGCCACUGUGUCCAGAAGCCAAGUGCCAAGAAACCUUUGGGAAAAGCACACUGCAGGAGCAUUCCCCACACCCAGGAGGUCUUCUGGUUCCCUUAUCCCUAUGGGCACGCACCAAAGCACCACAGCAGCCCACGCUGGGUACCUAAAUGAUGCUAAAACAACACCUGUUGGGGCAGAAACCGUCUCGCCCCAAACCCCACAGGCCCCAUGGGCUGCAGGAGGGUCCCCACACCCACUGCAACCCCUCUGACCCCUGGCCGCCCCAUGGCUCUCCCAGGGCUGUUCGCCCCCCCUCCCCUCCCACAGACCCCCUCUGCACAGCCCCGCGGCACCCGCAGCUCCUCCAGCAGAGCCCCUGUGCCCAACAAAGCCUUCCAGCCAGCAGCGCCCAGCUCCUAAUUAUGAUUUCCUUCAAGACGAUCCCAGCAGCGAUAGACAAAACCGUCCCCUCUGGUCGGAGCUGGAAUGCCGUGUCCUAACGACAGCUUUUGUACCGCGCCUGUUGGAGGAAAGAGCGCAGCAGGAGGGGGGAAAGGGAGAUUUAAUUAUAGAGCCGCAUUGUGAUUUCGCACACAUAGCUGGCUGCUGUAAUCAGGUUACAAGUGUAGCUCAUUUUCCUCCCUCCCCUCCCUCUUCCUCCUCUUUUUCUUUCUUCUUUCCCCCUCUCCCUCUUUCCUCUCGGUGGUCCGAAGCGCUCCGUGAGAUCCGUGUGUCGCAGAGCCGCUCCGACAUUGGGCUGCACAGCACAUGGACCCACAUCCCAACACCCCCCUCCCCGCUGCCCCCCGGGUUCCCACAGCCCCGGCUGGAGAGGAGGAGUCCCUUUUCCCUCUCUUGGGGCGGGAGGAGGAAAACCAGAGGGGAAAACAUCUUUGGAGCACAACUUUGUGUGUUUUUCUAUCCAGGCAAAGCAAUGCUGCGCUCUGUUCGGGGCCGCUCUGAGGUUCAUUGAGGAACCUAUUGUUGUCCAUGUGAAUUCUUUUUUACAUUUCAAAUAACAGGAUUAUUUCCCCAGGGGGUAAUAUCCUGUAAUUUGAACACAAUAAUGGGAAUAAAUUACUUACUUAGAACUAAUAACGACAGCCUGAUUCCAAUAUAUAUAGGAACUGUAACAGCUUUGGUUAGUUAAAGUGUAAUUGUGUCGACGGAUGACAUUUUCUUUCAAAGGAAUCUGAAUGACUUUUAAUUAAAUUUGCUGAGGGUGGGGAGGGAGGGAGGGGGAGACGCCGGCAUCCCAGCGCCCCGAGCGUGGCACCGACGGAGGGGACCGCAUCCCCCAGGGUGCCGCUGCCGGCACCUGGCAUUGCCAGCGGGCAGCCCUGCUUGGUGCUGGGUGAUGCUCCACCUCGAGCACCAGUGACAUUCGGCCACUGGGAUGCAGGGAUGCUGCAGGGAGAGCGUGGUGUGUCCCCAUGUUGCUCCCCAUGCCCCGUGUCCCGUCCCCGUGGCACUUCUGCCCCGUGACAUCCCCACUGUCCCCAGCGGGUUCUGCUGCCGAUUGCUUUUUGUGUUUAUUUUCAGCCCUCGAAGUUCCCUUUGGAGAAGAAAGAAUUCACAAAAGCCAGCUUUCCACCCCGGCCCGCGGAGCGCCGAGUUCCUGCCCCGAAAUAUCUCGGCGAGGAGCGCUGCCAGCGGCUCCGUCCUCCUCCAGGACUCAUUUUCCUCUGUUUAUCUUGAAAAUAUUUCUGUGCUGAGGUCCCACCCAGCGGCACACAGCCCUGCACAGCCGCCUCCAGCCGACACACAGCCCUUGUUUAUGUGGAGCGGAGCCGACGGAGCGCAGGGCCGAUGCUGGAGGAGAGCCCCCCCAGCACAGAGCGUCCCGCCCCGCAGCUCCCCGCUCACCCACUGACACACAGAUGCCUCCAGUUGCUGGUUUGGGAGUUUCUCGUGGUUUAUGUGAUAAUAAUGGCAAAGAAUGCUGCGGUUGGAUCUCCUAGAGCUCUGCUGAGAGUUGGGCACAUCCUGGGGUGCAGCGAUGCUCCGUCUCUGGUCCACGGGUGUCUGCAACAACCGCCCUGCAGCGGGCACAGAGUUUUGCAAGAGGCCGUUGCAAAGGUUUCAGUGUGAAUGUGCUGGGCUUCGUGGCAGAGGGCUGGGAUGGGGACCUGGCUGUCCCCUCACCACCCCGCUGCAGGAUCUGACCCCGAUUUGGGGCGCCCACCCUGAGCAUCCCCUCCCCAAACCGCUCCCCCUUCCUGCAGCAUCACGCCGUGCAAACACCCUCAAUCACAGCAACGCUCAAAGCCCGGCCAGCAGGAUUGAGUUACCUGCCCUGGAAGAAUAAAGGAGGCAUUCAGCCAGAGCUUACGCCUUUCCCCCUGCCAAGGCCCGACACCACGGUGACGGUCACACGCAGAGGCACAGAAACACGAGCCCCGGUGACCCCGAUCUGCAUCCCCCCUCCUCCCACCCCACGGCACCGGGCAGAGCGCACGCUUUGCUUUGCUUGCCCGUCACGAGCUGCCUUAUCUUUUAAUAGAACCUUUAAGAGCAGAAGUCAGGCUACCCGGGCACAAAGGCGGCUAAAUCUCCUCCCGGGACAUUAAUCAUUUUUCUUUGACAUGUUUUGCUAAUUAGACGAAGCGUUUCCCUCGAUGGGGGGGGGGGGCUGGGAAAAAGAAAGAAAGAAGGGGGAGAGGUGGAAGAGAGGAAGGAGCAGGGCAGAGGGACCGACGUGUAACGCUGCUCCGUUCUUCGAGCACCAGCUUGCAGGGAGCAGACCCAGCCCACGUGGCUCCAACAUCAUCAGGACGUGGCGAUCACCGUCCCUGGAGGUGCCCCAGGCCGUGGUGGGCACUGGACAGCCUGAGCUGAAGGGGGCAGCCGGCCCAUGGCCACCCAUCUGUGCCUAUGGGUGCGUGAGCUGAGAUGCCCCACGGGGGGAAAACACAGAGGGUGAAGGUUUCUCCCCCCUGUGCAGCCACUGCUCGUGGAUGCAUGGAGCGUCCCCUGUGAUUUCUUAAAAUGCACCGUUUGUCUGGGAUUCCUGGCAAUGCCUGCUGCUGCACCCACAGACAUGGCCUGGCACCCCCACAGCCCACGGCUGAGGGCUCAUUUGGGGCUGUAGAAGGCAGCAGGAAGCCUCUGCCAUGGUGGCUUGUCAAUAGACCCUCUAACUGCAGGGACAGGGACAAGCUUGUCCCGGGCAGGACUGGCUCCUUUUUGCAAGAGUCCAACUCAGCUCCCCCAGGACCCGAUGGUUUUUUUUUGUGGGGAACAGAAUAACCCACAGUGAAAUCGCUAUGAGGACGCACUGAAACAAAAUCCCGACAAGAAACCGCUGCCUGCUCGUGCCCCCCGGCACUGCAGAGCAUUCGCUCCCAUCGCUUACCAGCAGCUCGAACCCAAACCCUCCAUGUGCAAACCUUUGGGGCAGCGCUAUGGGGCAGCGCUGCAGAAAUCAAUCACAGCGCCGCACUCCCUGGGCGCGCUCCUCAUUGCUGCGGGAUGACACACUCUGCCCCUCCCCCCCCCCCCACCCCCCUCCCGCCGCCCCCACCACCAAAACAAAGCGCUGUUUCUAAUUUGGGGUGUUUGGAAAUCAUUUUCCAUCCCGGCUUCCAAACGAAACCAAAAAAGACAUUUGCUUUCCAGAGCACCGCGGAGGGGUCAGAGCUCUGCGGGAGAGCGAAAAGCCGCGGGAAAAAACGAGUGCUGCACCCCCACACCCAUUUCCAAGAAAAAUAAAAUAAAUUACAAGAAGACAAUGCUGUUAAAUAUAGAGCAUAAAGCACAGCUCGGCACCAUUCAUCAUUCGGGGGGUGUUGUCGCCAACAUCUCCCCGGCGGAUCCUGUUGGCUGUUGCAUCCCCAGGGGACGCGUUGCGGGCGUGCUGAUGCUGGCCCGGGGAGCAGCAGAGGGGCGGUGGGAACCCCGCGGGUGCCUCCGCCGCUGUGUGAGAGCUGCUGGAAAAUCAUAGUCCUCUCCCGAGUUAAAUUCAGCCCUGGGAGCGCCGUCGGGCCGCGUCCCGGCGCGGUUUGUACAGCCAGAGUGGGGUGGAAAAAAGGAAAAGCCUUCAAGGUGAGGAAAGCGCUGUGGGAAGGUCGGCAUCCCAGGUGCUUUCGUGGGGAGAGUGAGGAGGAGCAUCCGGCACGCCGCAAAACAAGUGUUUUUCCAUAAGUUGCUGGUGGAAAGAGCAGAUCAGAGCAGGUAGCUGCGUCCUGCACGGCGGUCCCCAGCUCUGGGGUCUCUGAUAGGAGCCUCAUGGGUGGGGGAGGGUGCUUGGAGCAUCACCCCACUGCGAGGCUCCAUUCUGCCCAGGGUGAGGCAGGGAAACCAAACUGGGUUCGUGUCUGCAAGGCUUCAAUGGAGAACCCCAGACAUGAAAGGUCUCCAGGCCAUGGGGCGGCAUCCUGGUGGUGGUUGGACAUGGAGCUGUGUUGGACACGGAGCAGUGGUGGAGAUGGAGCAGUGGUGGAGAUGGAGCACUGUUGGCCAUGGAGCAGUGUUCAGUCCACAGCAUCGGGGCAGGAUUUCCCACCCUUCCCAGCUCAAUUCCUGUGAGCAUUUCUCACGGACACCCAACGUGUGCCAUCACUGGACUCACAACUUCUCCUCAUCUCCUCCCCACCUCCAUCUGCCCCCGAGGUGCUGCACAGAGCACUGGGAGGGCCCCGAGGAGGAAAAAAAAAAUAGAAAAUAAUCAGAACUGUUAAAAAAAAAAAAAAGCCACUGGAAACAAACAAACAGCUCUGAUUUAUCGCUCACGAGAAGAAAUGGUGCAUGUUGGAAGCAAGCACAGGAAGUCCUGGGGACAAUAAAUCCCGCACGGGAGCAGAGAACCAACACAGUUCCACGUUCGGGAACACAGCGAGGAUAUGGAGACAGCGGGAGGGUGAAGGGGGGGAAUUUGGGGUGGGACCCCAAAGCAGAGGGGUGCGGAGCUGGGAGCGCUCUCCCCAUCACCUCGAGUUUUGGGAUGGAGCCCAGGUGCCGGCAAAGGGAUCUGCCGGGACCCCCCGCUCUGAUGUGGCCGUGUGAGGACGGGGAGCAGCGGCUGAGUCCGUCCCGACCUCAUCACCCGCGGAACACCAGCAAUCCUGGCUGUGCUGUGGGUACAGAAACAGCACGUCCCCACUGCUGGCCGGGGCUCCUGGCAGCCCCAGGGAGGAUUUGGCUGCGCAGGAAUUUGGAAGCUGCCUGAAAUCCCGAAGAAAUGAGGGAAGGCUGAGGAGUGUCGCUGUGAUGGAGGCUCAGCCCCGCCACGGCAGCUUGCAGCACCCCACGCAUGGCGCCGGCAGCAAACUGGGAGCUGUGGCUGUGGGAUAUCAUCCCCUCUUCUAUGGGGACACCGCAGGGGCUCCCCAGGACCCCCUGACCCCAUUCCCCCCCCCCCCCCCAUGGCUGGGGGUCACAUUUGUUGCAUCCUUUGGGAUGAGGCAGAAAACACCACAGCACUCAGUGCCCCAUCUCCGUUUCAUUGUCCUCCCCGCACCCAAACGUGGUUUGUUUUUAGCCCGGGAAGGCGGUGGGGUGGGGGGGAGGGAUGAGGCUGAUUAUUAAAUGCCAUCGGCUCCAAUUAAUCCCCCAAAUUGACUCAGAGGUACCACGGCGCCCAUUCCGGUGAAUGUUUUGCCAUCUUUCAGUGCUGCUCUGCAGAUCCGACCCAUAGCAGCCAUGGACAGACCCAACGGAUCAGAUGUGAUCCCAAACGCGAUGGCAGUGAGCCCGGGCUAGGAAAGCAGAGAUCCCAAACCCACCCCGUUGGGCACAUCGUGCUGCACCAGCGCCGCUCUGCAGAAGGCAGCUGGAGGCUCUGCCCCUAUCCCAGCGCCGGCUGUGGGGGAUUUACCAGCACCAGCACGGCCCUUUGCUUUGCUUUCCGAACGAAAGUAAAGCGGAGCAGUUUGCAGAAGGUUCUCAUUAGGGAAACAUCUGGAGUCAGCCCUUCUCCCCCAAAGGGCAGCGGAGUGCUCGGAGGAAUCGGGGGAGGAGGAGGGAUGGAUGGCUGAGGCGUGUUUCGGCGUGCUGCCGGGGCAGGGACCCAAGGAAGGUCCCAGCAGCGCUCCCAGCAUCUGUCCCAGCGCCCGGGGGUGCCCGGAUCUGUCCGCUGGGAUGGAUGGGGUAAGGAUGCUCCCGGUCCCUUGAGGGACACGGGCUGGUGGCGCUGCCGUCGGGGGACGUCACCCCCUCCUCCGGGUGCCCUUCCCGCUGCCUUUGGGCGCUCACUGCGGAGGAGCGCGGGUCCGGAGCGGCGCAGUGCGUAGCGCGCGGGGUACGUCCCGCAGAUGGGACCGUCCCCUCUCCUGUCCCCAUCACACAGGCUGUAGUGACAUCUGCUGGGCUCUCACUGGGGAAGUCCCGCGGAACCCGCACGGCACGGACCCUCCGGCGCCGCACAGACCCGGAUGGCAGCGCUUCCCCUCGUCCUGGGAGAAACGACGGAUGUCUGACGGCCGCGGUGUGCCCCGACGUGCCGCCGUUGCUGCGAGGGCGUCGCUGUCCGUAUACGCAGGAUGCCGUGCUGCGCCUCAUUAUGCAAAUAGAAGCAAUUAGAGCUCACCCAGGCUCUGCCCACGUGAUGGUUUAUGGCACUCGCAGAAAUCCUUCCUGCUACAUGAGGAGAAUGACAACGGCCCCGGGCUGCAGCCAGCGCACCCCAACCGCGGGGAGCUGAUGGCGGUGCCUUUGGUGGAGCCCCACAUCAGGGACCGACCCCAUCACUGCUGCCCAGAAGCGCCCACGGGAGGGACUGCCCAGGAGGAGCCCCCCAACCCCCCAGGUGACAUCGUGGCACUGGGGACGGCUGCAGCCCUCAGCCCCGAGGACGGCACGUGGGGCUGCAGUGCCACGCGUGGCAUACAUCAGUGCAGCUCAGUCCGCCCAACCGGGGGCUGCCGUGGUUAUCCCACGGUCACCCAUUCCGAAAUAGAAUAUGGAAGGCAAACAUGUACAGAGUCGCCAGCCCACCUCACGCCGGACUUCCUCGGUGUAUUUUCAGUUCCUUGAGCAGGGAAGGGCUGUCCUGGGCCCAGUGCUCAUCGUGGCACAAGAGGCGUCCAUCAGUAGCGCAGGGUGCGGACACAGCGAGGACCGGAGCACAGAGAGCAGCCCCGUGGGGACACAGCAUUGGAGGCACUGGGACUACCUGAGGGCCACUGAUGGGUGAGAGAGUUGAUUUUAAAGUGGAGGAUCUCCAAUAAAGGCAGAGGAAUACAACCUCCAAUGGGCACAGGGGAAGGGCAGAACUCACCCAGCAAGGAGCCAGCAGGGCACGGCCUGCACAGCCAACGGUGGGGAGGGCUGGAAUCCCCUCCCGGGUUCGGGAUGCACUCGGUGUGCUUUUAAAGGGGCUCUGGUUGUGCUUCAAAACAGCCUGUCUGUAAUUGCCAAAAAAAUAAUUAAAAAAAAAAAAUAGACAAAACAACCCGCUACAAUGACUAAUUAGCUCGCUCCUGCCUCGUACCCUGUAAACAAAUGUAUUUGUAACCAAUUUGCAAGCACUUUGCAUAAGGGGCCCAGAACACUCAUGCCUGUUUGAUGCAUUUUGACAUUAAUUUGAUAAUAGCGGCUUAACAAGGAAUCCAGGCUCCCUAGCUAUAAAUAUGCUGCUUUUCCCCCUCCUUUUAUCUGCACAGUGAAAUAAUGUUGUUUUUCCCCCUGCUGCAAUAACCACCAUCCAACCCUUUCAUGAACACCCUUUAUGUCCUUUAGCAUUUGCAAGGCUUUUUUUUUUUCCUCCUCUCUCUUUUCUUCCCUCCUCCUGUAGAAAGCAGGAGGGUUUUACGAGCUGUCCUCUUCAUUCCUGGUUACGGAGGGGAUGGAGAGGACAGCGAUGGUGCUCCAAUAAUGCUGCUUAUGGGAGAGUGGCUCAGAAGCCCUUCCUCCAUCCACCUGUGCUCCCCACCUGUGGCAGGGAUGCAGCUCAUCCUCUUUUCCCCCUUCUCAGCACGCUGUGGAUCUCCAACUCCACGCAGCCCUUCGGUGCCACACCAGCAGCAAAUGGGAGCACAAUGAAAUGGGAAUGGGAUGCUGGGGACAGCAUUGGUGCCACCCAGAGCACAGGUCCCAGCCCCAGUGGGUGGCACCGCAGCAUCGCCAGAGCCACCGCGUGUCCCACAGACACCAAACCACAGCCACAGCCCAUCCCUGCCCCAGCAGCAACACUUCUCUCCUCCUGGUCCCUCCCAAAGCUUCCCAUCUAUGUGUAGAACCGCGGGAUGGUUGGGUUGGAAGGAACCUUAAAGACUGCGGAAUGGUUGGGUUGGAAAGGACCUCACAGCCCCUCAGCCUCAACCCUGCUGUGGGGCAGCGUGGAACAAUAAUGUGACUGAAUGGCUGCAGAGCUCUCACCCUGCUGUCUCCCGGCUCCCCUACGGCCCCCACCUGGGAACAGUCACAGCUCUGUGCCAGCAGAUGUGCCGCAGGGGCACAGCACAGCUCCAGGACGAGCUGCUCCAUCCCCAGCCCUCCUCUGGGAUUAUUAAUGCCCAAACAAUGCAGUGAGCCCCAGCGAUAAGCCAGAGCCCCAGCAGAGUACAUUCCUUCCUCAGCCUCCU